rnacentral:rRNA from 1 species
CAGAGGUCCCGAGCGUUGUUCGGAUUCACUGGGCGUAAAGGGUGCGUAGGUGGCGAGGUAAGUCGGAUGUGAAAGCUCGGAGCUCAACUCCGAAAUGGCAUUGGAAACUACCUUGCUCGAGGGUUGGAGGGGGGACUGGAAUACUUGGUGUAGCAGUGAAAUGCGUAGAUAUCAAGUGGAACACCAGUGGCGAAGGCGAGUCCCUGGACAACUCCUGACACUGAGGCACGAAAGCUAGGGGAGCAAACAGGAUUAGAUACCCUGGUAGUCCUAGCCGUAAACGGUGCUUGCUUGCUGUAAAAGGAAUCGACCCCUUUUGUGGCGUAGCCAACGCGUUAAGCAAGCCGCCUGGGAAGUACGGUCGCAAGAUUA